rnacentral:tRNA from 1 species
GGGCCUGUAGCGCAGUUGGUAGCGCGCCUCGUUCGCAUCGAGGAGGUCAGGGGUUCGAUUCCCCUCAGGUCCACCG